rnacentral:rRNA from 1 species
CCUACGGGAGGCAGCAGUGGGGAAUAUUGCACAAUGGGGGAAACCCUGAUGCAGCGACGCCGCGUGAGUGAAGAAGUAAUUCGUUAUGUAAAGCUCUAUCAGCAGGGAAGAAAAUGACGGUACCUGAGUAAGAAGCCCCGGCUAACUACGUGCCAGCAGCCGCGGUAAUACGUAGGGGGCAAGCGUUAUCCGGAUUUACUGGGUGGAAAGGGAGCGUAGACGGCAGUGCAAGUCUGGAGUGAAAGGCGGGGGCUCAACCCCCGGACUGCUCUGGAAACUGUACGGCUGGAGUGCAGGAGAGGUAAGUGGAAUUCCUAGGGUAGCGGUGAAAUGCGUAGAUAGUAGGAGGAACACCAGUGGCGAAGGCGGCUUACUGGACUGUAACUGACGUUGAGGCUCGAAAGCGUGGGGAGCAAACAGGAUUAGAUACCCCGGUAGUC